rnacentral:lncRNA from 1 species
ACGGAACCUCCUUCCGUUUUAGGAUUAUAAAUGAAUUCUGAUUUGGGGAAGCAGACGCCAACUUAGAGCCUCGUACCAAUCUCUCUGUCUUUAAAAGAAUGUUAACGAAACUGUCACCUUGGUGAGAAGAUCAUUCUAAUAGCUUUAUUCUGGCAUAUGGAGGUAUGGAGAGCUUGAAGGAGUUGGAAAGGUGCCCAGCUAAGACCAGGAUGCCAUCACCCUACCCAGGGCUCUGCAGUUUUCUCAUGGUGAACCCUUAAUG